rnacentral:rRNA from 1 species
CACGUAGGGGGCGAGCGUUGUCCGGAUUCAUUGGGCGUAAAGGGCGCGCAGGCGGCCCGGAAAGUCGGAUGUGAAAACUCGAGGCUCAACCUCGAGCGUGCACCCGAUACUGCCGGGCUUGAGGCAGGUAGGGGAGAUCGGAAUUCCUGGUGUAGCGGUGAAAUGCGCAGAUAUCAGGAGGAACACCGGUGGCGAAGGCGGGUCUCUGGGCCGAUACUGACGCUGAGGAGCGAAAGCGUGGGGAGCGAACAGG